CCUACGGGAGGCAGCAGUGGGGAAUUUUGCGCAAUGGGGGAAACCCUGACGCAGCAACGCCGCGUGGAGGAUGAAAUAUCUUGGUAUGUAAACUCCUUUCGAUGGGGAAGAUAAUGACGGUACCCAUAGAAGAAGCCCCGGCUAACUUCGUGCCAGCAGCCGCGGUAAUACGAGGGGGGCAAGCGUUGUUCGGAUUUAUUGGGCGUAAAGGGUGCGUAGGCGGUUUGGCAAGUCUUAUGUGAAAUCUUCGGGCUCAACCCGAAGCCUGCAUAAGAAACUGCCGGGCUUGAGUAUUGGAGAGGUGAGUGGAAUUUCCGGUGUAGCGGUGAAAUGCGUAGAUAUCGGAAGGAACACCUGUGGCGAAAGCGGCUCACUGGACAAUAACUGACGCUGAUGCACGAAAGCUAGGGGAGCAAACAGGAUUAGAUACCCUGGUAGUCCUAGCCCUAAACGAUGAUUGUUUGAUGUGGCAGGUACCCAAUCCUGCCGUGUCGAAGCUAACGCGAUAAACAAUCCGCCUGGGGAGUACGGUCGCAAGGCNGAACGACAANAGAUAGUAAGGCGUGAGAGUGCGAGGACGACACGAGGGAGGAGG
rnacentral:rRNA from 1 species